CUCCGCUUGGUGUAGUUGGUUUAUCACGUUCGGCUGUAAUUGCUCAUAUCUGCCACCGAAAGGUCCCUAGUUCGAUUCUGGGAGCGGAGA